CUCAAACCCAUAACUGAUAAUAGGCCAGAUUAGACUUUGGUUUUCUUUUUAGCUUUACCUUUGGAAGUCAUGAGUCAUGACCAAUAGUUUCUUUUUUGUCAAACCCUCGUUCCGCAGCAGCCCAUUGUCUCUCGCGUCGAUGUCAAAACCCUCGCACAGCGGUGUGACCUUCAUAGCAGCAGCAGCUCUGGCUCUUAAGAAGGAUUUGAAAAAAUAUAGAGAUCCAAAGCGCACAAAUGAAAUAGAAGAGCAUAUAUCAUGGGUUGACAAACAGUUAAGAUCUGGUUCAGCAAAAAAUAUUGAUGCAUAGAUAUUGGCUAGGCACAAGAAGCAAAAGAAAGAAGUAGCAAAGCAAGGAAAAUGUCAUUUUUAUCUCAAGAAAUAAACCGUUAAGUUUUUGGAUGGAAUUGGACGGAAGACCAAAG